UCCUACGGGAGGCAGCAGUGAGGAAUAUUGGUCAAUGGGCGCAAGCCUGAACCAGCCAUCCCGCGUGCAGGAAGACGGCCCUAUGGGUUGUAAACUGCUUUUCUGACGGAAGAAUAGUCGCUACGUGUAGUGAUUUGACGGUACUUCAGGAAUAAGCAUCGGCUAACUCCGUGCCAGCAGCCGCGGUAAUACGGAGGAUGCAAGCGUUAUCCGGAUUCAUUGGGUUUAAAGGGUGCGUAGGCGGACUAAUAAGUCAGUGGUGAAAUCUUCCGGCUCAACCGGGAAACUGCCAUUGAUACUGUUAGUCUUGAGUUCGGCUGAGGUAGGCGGAAUGUGUAAUGUAGCGGUGAAAUGCUUAGAUAUUACACAGAACACCAAUUGCGUAGGCAGCUUACUAGACCGACACUGACGCUGAGGCACGAAAGCGUGGGGAGCGAACAGGAUUAGAUACCCUGGUAGUCCACGCCGUAAACUAUGAUUACUCGUUGUUGGCGAUACACAGUCAGCGACCAAGCGAAAGCGAUAAGUAAUCCACCUGGGGAGUACGCUUGCAAGAGUGAAACUCAAAGGAA
rnacentral:rRNA from 1 species